AACUUCUGAAUGUUGACCUCGGAUCAGGUAGGAAUACCCGCUGAACUUAAGCAUAUCAAUAAGCGGAGGAAAAGAAACCAACAGGGAUUGCCCUAGUAACGGCGAGUGAAGCGGCAACAGCUCAAAUUUGAAAUCUGGCUCUCGGGCCCGAGUUGUAAUUUGUAGAGGAUGCUUUUGAUGCGGUGCCUUCCGAGUUCCCUGGAACGGGACGCCAUAGAGGGUGAGAGCCCCGUCUGGUUGGAUGCCAAAUCUCUGUAAAGCUCCUUCGACGAGUCGAGUAGUUUGGGAAUGCUGCUCUAAAUGGGAGGUAUAUGUCUUCUAAAGCUAAAUACCGGCCAGAGACCGAUAGCGCACAAGUAGAGUGAUCGAAAGAUGAAAAGCACUUUGAAAAGAGAGUUAAAAAGUACGUGAAAUUGUUGAAAGGGAAGCGUUUAUGACCAGACUUGGGCUUGGUUAAUCAUCUGGGGUUCUCCCCAGUGCACUUUUCCAGUCCAGGCCAGCAUCAGUUUUCGCCGGGGGAUAAAGGCUUCGGGAAUGUGGCUCUCUCCGGGGAGUGUUAUAGCC
rnacentral:rRNA from 1 species